UGGGGAAUUUUGGACAAUGGGCGAAAGCCUGAUCCAGCAAUGCCGCGUGUGUGAAGAAGGCCUUCGGGUUGUAAAGCACUUUUGUCCGGAAAGAAAUCCUUGGCUCUAAUACAGUCGGGGGAUGACGGUACCGGAAGAAUAAGCACCGGCUAACUACGUGCCAGCAGCCGCGGUAAUACGUAGGGUGCAAGCGUUAAUCGGAAUUACUGGGCGUAAAGCGUGCGCAGGCGGUUUGCUAAGACCGAUGUGAAAUCCCCGGGCUCAACCUGGGAACUGCAUUGGUGACUGGCAGGCUAGAGUAUGGCAGAGGGGGGUAGAAUUCCACGUGUAGCAGUGAAAUGCAUAGAGAUGUGGAGGAAUACCGAUGGCGAAGGCAGCCCCCUGGGCCAAUACUGACGCUCAUGCACGAAAGCGUGGGGAGCAAACAGGAUUAGAUACCCUGGUAGUCCACGCCCUAAAACGAUGUCAACUAGUUGUUGGGGAUUCAUUUCCUUAGUAACGUAGCUAACGCGUGAAGUUGACCGCCUGGGGAGUACGGUCGCAAGAUUAAAACUCAAAGGAAUUGACGGGGUCAUAGCUGUUUCCU
rnacentral:rRNA from 1 species